rnacentral:sRNA from 1 species
GACGCCGAGAGGCACCGUUUCUUCUUAAAAGAGAAACGCUGCGCGCGCGAGGUGGGCCCCGGUCUUCCAGCAGCUCCGGGCUUGCUCGCUAGGCCCGGGAGGCGCAGGCGCAGGCGCAGUGGGGGUGAGGGCGCGUGGGGGCGCACAGCCUCUGGUGCACAUGGCUUCCUCCCCGGCGGUGGACGUGACCUGCAGGCGGCGGGAGAAGCGGCGGCAGCUGGACGCGCGCCGCAGCAAGUGCCGCAUCCGCCUGGGCGGCCACAUGGAGCAGUGGUGCCUCCUCAAGGAGCGGCUGGGCUUCUCCCUGCACUCGCAGCUCGCCAAGUUCCUGUUGGACCGCCGAGAGUGCAGCCUGGUGCCCGGGCUUCGGGGGCCUGGCGGCCAAGAUGGGGGGCUUGUGUGGGAGUGCUCAGCAGGCCAUACCUUCUCCUGGGGACCCUCUUUGAGCCCUACACCUUCAGAGGCACCCAAGCCAGCCUCCCUUCCACAUACUACUCGGAGAAGUUGGUGUUCCGAGGCCACGAGUGGGCAGGAGCUUGCAGAUUUGGAAUCUGAGCAUGAUGAGAGGACUCAAGAGGCCAGGUUGCCCAGGAGGGUGGGACCCCCACCAGAGACCUUCCCACCUCCAGGAGAGGAAGAGGGUGAGGAAGAAGAGGACAAUGAUGAGGAUGAAGAGGAGAUGCUCAGUGAUGCCAGCUUAUGGACCUACAGCUCCUCCCCAGAUGAUAGUGAGCCUGAUGCCCCCAGACUACUCCCUUCCCCUGUCACCUGCACACCUAAAGAGGGGGAGACACCACCAGCCCCUGCAGCACUCUCCAGUCCUCUUGCUGUGCCGGCCUUGUCAGCAUCCUCAUUGAGUUCCAGAGCUCCUCCACCUGCAGAAGUCAGGGUGCAGCCACAGCUCAGCAGGACCCCUCAAGCGGCCCAGCAGACUGAGGCCCUGGCCAGGUAACCUGAUGGCUGAGACAGAAAGGGCAGGGGCGUCCUGGGAUGUGGCCCUCCCUCGAGGCCCUCUGCUCCCUCUUUGCUGCCCAUAGCACUGGGAGUCAGGCCCAGUCUGCUCCAACCCCGGCCUGGGAUGAGGACACUGCACAAAUUGGCCCCAAGAGAAUUAGGAAAGCUGCCAAAAGAGAGCUGAUGCCUUGUGACUUCCCUGGCUGUGGAAGGAUCUUCUCCAACCGGCAGUAUUUGAAUCACCACAAAAAAUACCAGCACAUCCACCAGAAGUCUUUCUCCUGCCCAGAGCCAGCCUGUGGGAAGUCUUUCAACUUUAAGAAACACCUGAAGGAGCACAUGAAGCUGCACAGUGGUGUGAGAUAUGCGGGUUUACCUGCCGCCAGAAGGCGUCCCUGAACUGGCACCAGCGCAAGCAUGCAGAGACGGUGGCUGCCUUGCGCUUCCCCUGUGAAUUCUGCGGCAAGCGCUUUGAGAAGCCAGACAGUGUUGCAGCCCACCGUAGCAAAAGUCACCCAGCCCUGCUUCUAGCCCCUCAAGAGUCACCCAGUGGUCCCCUAGAGCCCUGUCCCAGCAUCUCUGCCCCUGGG